rnacentral:lncRNA from 1 species
UCCGUUUUAGAGAUCGAUAUUUCAUUACGAUUUUAUUUUUAAAAUGUGUAUUUAAGUUACUUUUAACUUUAACUCAUAAACGAUAUAACUUUAACUAAUAAACGAUAUGAGACUAUAUUAACCGAGAGAAUACUUACUAUACUAUAACAAUUACAUGAGUGCAAAUACUCUCACAAAUUCGUUUACUGAUCCUCGAAGUCUCAUCUUCAAAUCAAUAUUUUGUUGUUGAAAAUCUGGGAAAUUUUGCAGAAAGAAGGCGAAUUAAAAACAAGAGUUUAUGGAAGAUAAAAGAAUUUGUGUUAUUUUGAAAUUGAAAGCAACAGAUAAAGAAAAGAAACACGGUUUCUUACUAAGAUGAUUACUCAAUUAAACAAUUGGUAAACUAAAUUACUGAAAUCAUUAGAUAUAAGUCAAGUAAGCAUCAGAUUCGUUGCUAACACAUAUUCUAUCAAUCCUUCAUGCUCACUCUACACUCCUUCUCAUUGCUAUCAUAUUUUCUCUAAAUAGAAAUCACAAAUGAUUCCAUUUUCUCGGAUAUUAUUUAAAUUUAUCUUAAUUUUAAUAUGAAAUUUCUACAUUUAUUGGAUAUGGAUAUGAAUAUGGAUAAUAUUUAAUUUUUUAAAUUGAGUAUGGAAAUGAAUAUGUACAUAUCCGUCUCAUUAAGUCUCUAUAUUCAUUUACGUCCUUCUAUUGGUUUUAAAUUACUAAAAUAUUUUUAAUUUAUUAGAUAAUCUAAAACAAUUAUAUUCGGAUUUUUUGGUUUCAUAACUUAUUUCUAAGUCACCAUUUAAUAUUUUUAUUCUUUUUUACAAUUAUUCGACUUUUAUCCAACAUUUAUUUUAUACUCUCAUUUAGUAUUUAUACGAUUAUUUUUUUUUUUACAUUUGACAUUAGAAAAAAAAAUGUGUAUAAUUUUAAUCUUAAAUACUUGAUAAUAUUAUUUUUUUCUUUAUUAUGAUUUUAAAUUUUUAUAAAAAAAUUAUUUAAUUAAUAUUUAGAAUAGUUCGGAACAAUCAUGACUUGCCCCAGGUCCAGCAUUUGGAUCUGAAAUAGUACAUUGGACCAAUUCUAAGCUUAUUUUAAAUUGUACCCUUUAAAUUAUUCCAAGGUACAUAUUAUAUAGUCAUCCUUCCAAUAUACUUCCCCUGCAUUGCACAAGCAUACUACCACCAAGCAUACUACCACCCUGACCAUUGUAAUUAGAAGUCAAGUUAGUAUUGUCAACAACUACAAUAAAUAAGACCCUCUUGUGAAAAAUCAUUGUUUUAUCAAAUAUUUCAGACAAGCCAUAGGAUCAAUACACCAGUCAAAAUAUGUAAAAUAUGUUAAAUGUUUUAUCAAUAUAAUCCAUGACCAUACCUUUAAUUGAGUCAUCGUAUAUAUCUCUAAGUGAUUUAUUCUAGCACUCUUAAAUAUAACAUUGUUCUUUGUUUUCAAAUCUCUCCUAUUAUAGCAACCCACAUACAUCUCCAAACUUUUUGCAUAUAGUGAUAACUUGGACAACCUAAACUGCAAAAAAAUGUGAUUUUGAGCAGCAAUGAUUAACCAAAACCUCAUCAAUCUUUAAAUAGCACAUACUCCACAUUAACUAGGCUAUCCUACAAGUAAAGAACAAAUGGCUAGAUGUUUCCUUUUCCUUGCCAUACAUGACACAUAAUGCAUUAUCCAUGACUACCCUUGCCUAAGUAAAUUAUCUUUUGUUGCUACUUUAUUUUGUAGCAUCCCCCAAACUACUAAAUGUGUUGAAGGUAAAGCUUUGAUCUUCUGAAAAUAUUCAUACAUUAUCCUGUUCAUCACUAAGCAUGUUCCUUAAUAUGAUAUAUGUUGAUUUUACUCUGUAGGUAAAAAACUUUCCUUCCUUCCACAACCAUGUAUCCUCUCCUUGCUUGAUUAAUCCCUUGUCCUCUAAUGGUUGCAAUAGCUUAAUUACUCGAUUCAUAUCCUAAUCAAACAAAUUUCUCCUCCACUUCAACUUCCAUUUCCACACAUUAUUGCUCCAUCUCCGAGUUUGAUUUGGCUUAGCUUCUUUGCAAGUAGAUAAAGAAUAUAAUCUUGGAAAUUUAACUUUAAGUUCUUCAUUGUCUACUCACUUGUCUUUCCAAAAUCUUAUAUUUUUCCCUUCUCCAAUCUCUCAAAUGAUAUCAUCUUCGAAUGUAUUCCUCCACUCCUCUAACUCCUAAAUCAUUUUCAAAUCUCUCCACCAAAGAGAUUCCUUGUUUAUUCUUUGAUUCUUUAAUUCCCUUUACCCCUCAUACUUAUACUUUAUUAUUUCUUUCAAUAAACCAUCAUUUACAGUUUCUAGACACCAAACCCAUUUUUCUAAUAAUGUUAUGUUGAAUAGUCUUAUGUCUAUUACCCCUAAUCAUCUUUCCCCCUUAGAUUUACAUACAUUUUCCCAAGGUAUCCAUGCUAUUUUCCUCACAUACGUCUCCCAUCCCCAUAAAAAUUGUCUUUGGAUUUUCUUGAUUGUUUUCAUCACCAAAACAGAUAUCUUGAAGAAAGAUAAAUAAAAUAAUGAGAAUGAUGUAAUCACCGAUCUUAGUAAGCAAAUCUUGUCUAUCAUUGAUAAAUAUUUACCUUUCUAUCCAUCCAAUUUUUUCCUAAUCUUUCCUAUCAUCCCUUCCCAGAACAUAUUCCUUGUAUGGUUGUCCCCCAUGGCCAUUCCCAAAUAUAUGAAAGGGGUUUUUGUAGUGCCACAAUUGAGAAUGGAAGCAUAUCAAUGUAUCAUAGUGUUAUCUACUCAUACCCCUCAAAUCUUACUCUUCAUAUAAUUCACUUUUAAACUAGAGGCUAAUUCGAAACAACUCAUAAUAGAUUUCAGGAGUAAUAAAUUUUGAGUAUUAUCUUUGCAAAAAAAUAAAGUUUCAUCAGCAUAUUGGAGAAUAUUUACCUUAAUCUCUCUAUCUUCUACUUCAAUGUUGUCCAAAAAUUUCUUUUCCUCUGCCUAUCUUACAACACCCAUCAUUAUAAAAUUUAGGAAGGGAACAAUGGG